AGGACGAACGCUGGCGGCGUGCUUAACACAUGCAAGUCGAGCGGAAAGGCCUUUCGGGGUACUCGAGCGGCGAACGGGUGAGUAACACGUGAGUAAUCUGCCCAUCGCUUCAGGAUAGCCAUCGGAAACGGUGAUUAAUACUGGAUAUGACAUUCCUUCGCAUGUUGGGGUGUGGAAAGUUUUUUCGGCGGUGGAUGUGCUCGCGGCCUAUCAGCUUGUUGGUGGGGUAAUGGCCUACCAAGGCUUUGACGGGUAGCCGGCCUGAGAGGGUGACCGGCCACACUGGGACUGAGACACGGCCCAGACUCCGUACGGGAGGCAGCGAGUGGGGAAUAUUGGACAAGUGGGCGGAAGCCUGAUCCAGCAACGCCGCGUGAGGAUGGACGGUCCGUUCGGGUUGUAAACCUCC
rnacentral:rRNA from 1 species